rnacentral:rRNA from 1 species
UACGUAGGGGGCAAGCGUUAUCCGGAAUUACUGGGUGUAAAGGGUGAGUAGGCGGCAUGGUAAGCCAGAUGUGAAAGCCUUGGGCUUAACCCGAGGAUCGCAUUUGGAACCAUCAAGCUAGAGUACAGGAGAGGAAAGCGGAAUUCCUAGUGUAGCGGUGAAAUGCGUAGAUAUUAGGAAGAACACCAGUGGCGAAGGCGGCUUUCUGGACUGAAACUGACGCUGAGGCACGAAAGCGUGGGGAGCGAACAGG